UGCGUCGGGGUCGAGGCUCCAGCCUGACCAAUCCAGGGGGUCGACAAAACAGAUUCGGGACACCAUGCUACACGCAGGGCCUACCAGGAUGCAGAAACAGCAGACGGAGUCCGGGGAAAGCAGUGCGGCAUCCCAGCCUCAGGCCUGCCCGUACGGUGUUCGGGAGGGGAGGAGACCAAUGUGAAAGGAGAUGGUUAUAUCUCCUCGCGGCUCUUCUCUGAGAAAUGAAGCCAGGAUACGAAACAAUCUUCAAGAAGAAGCUGAAAACCGGAUAUGACAAGGAUGUCCCCAGAACACAGCAGGCAUCCUGAAGCUCUGCCUCCUGAAGCUCCCCCUCCCUCGGUGGAAGUCGGCUCAGGGAGGUCCUGAGGACAGGACUCCUGGGGGUUUGGCUGCAGAAUGAAUUAAUUCACUAGGACUUUAUAUAAUUUUUCAAAUCAUGAAAUUGCACAAUCUUUUGAAUAUGGAAUUGGGAGGCCUUUCAGUUCAUUCAGUAGAAAACUGGAACAUUUUUGAAGGGUGAUCUGCUCGACACCUUUCAAAGAGUACAAAACCUUGUGAAGUAGCAGAUGCAAUGAUUACCAAUGUACCUUAUAAAAUGACUUUCAGAGUUUGAGAUUAAAUUGGCUUUUCUGAAAUAUGUAAGUCUCUGGAAAAACUCAACAUUUCUAAUCUUGCUUUGGAAAGCCUUUAAGUAUGUAAAAAUCAAUUUCUUAUAUCUUCUCUGAAAUAAACAUGGAAUAUCCUAAGGUUUUAUUCAUGUUUCAUGAAUUUCACAGCAUUCAUCAUAUUUUCAAGUUAUUUUUGAUGCUUUGCAUUGUAUUAAAAUCUCUCUUGGAAUGAGAGGCCUGAAAAACAAUCAUAAUAUACUGUUGUUGUCUAACAAUAUAUCAAGUUUUUAAUGACUCUUACAAUGCAAUAUUUUUAUCAUUCUUGUAGUUUAUCCACAUGUAUUUAAUAUUACUAGCAGAAAUUUAGAUUUUAGUAAAUUAAUUCUGAUCUUUGUAAAAUAAAAUGCUUUAGUUUUCAAUCU
rnacentral:lncRNA from 1 species